rnacentral:rRNA from 1 species
AGUUCGAUCAUGGCUCAGAUUGAACGCUGGCGGGAUACUUUUACAGCAUACAGAGUCGAACGGCAGCACGGACUUCGGUCUGGUGGCGAGUGGCGAACGGGUGAGUAAUGUAUCGGAACGUGCCUAGUAGCGGGGGAUCUUACGCAGCGUAGCUAUGUCUACAUACGCCCUUCGAGGAAAAGCAGGGGACCUUCGGGCCUCGCACUAUUAGAGCGGCCGAUAUCGGAUUAGCUAGUUGGUGAGGUAACGGCUCACCAAGGCGAUCCGUAGCUGGUUUGAGAGGACGACCAGCCACACUGGGACUUUGAGACACGGCCCAGACUCCUGCGGGAGGCAGCAGUGGGAAUUUUGGACAAUGGGGAAACCCUGAUCCAGCCAUCCCGCGUGUGCGAUGAAGGCCUUCGGGUUGUAAAAGCACUUUUUGGCAGGAAAGAAACGGCACGGGAUAAUACCCCGUGCAGGCGAACCUGCAAAUUAAGCACCGGCUAACUACGUGCCAGCAGCCGCGGUAAUACGUAGAAGUGCAAGCGUUAAUCAGAUUACUGGGCGUAAAGCGUGCGCAGGCGGUUCGGAAGAAAGAUGUGAAAUCCCAGAGCUUAGCUUUGGAACUGCAUUUUUAACUACCGAGCUAGAGUGUGUCAGAGGAGGUGGAAUUCCGCGUGUAGCAGUGAAAUGCGUAGAUAUGCGAAUGCCACCGAUAUGGCGAAGGCAGCCUCCUGGGAUAACACUGACGCUCGUAAAAGCGUGGGGAGCAAGCAGGAUUAGAUACCCUGGUAGUCCACGCCUAAACGAUGUCAACUAGCUGUUGGGGCCUUCGGGCCUUGGUAGCUAGCUAACGUGGUGAUGCCUGGGAGAUACGGUCAUAGAUUAAAACUCAAAGGAAUUGACGGGGACCCGCACAAGCGGUGGAUGAUGUGGAUUAAUUCGAUGCGAAAAACCUUACCUACCCUUGACAUGUCUGGAAUCCCGAAGAGAUUUGGGAGUGCUCUCAAGAGGAGCCCAGGAACACAGGUGCUGCAUGGCUGCUCGUCAGCUCGUGUCGUGAGAUGUUGGGUUAAGUCCCACAACGAGCGCAACCCUUGUCAUUAGUUGCUACGAAGAGACACUCUAUUGAGACUGCCGGUGACAAACCGGAGGAAGGUGGGGAUGACGUCAAGUCCUCAUGGCCCUUAUGGGUAGGGCUUCACACACGUCAUACAAUGGUCGGGACAGAGGGUCGCCAACCCGCGAGGGGGAGGCCAAUCCCAGGAAACCCGAUCGUAGUCGAAUCGCAGUCUGCAACUCGACUGCGGCAGUCGGAAUCGCUAGUAAUCGCGAGAUCCAGCAUGUCGCGGUGAAUACGUUCCCGGGUCCUGUACACACCGCCCGUCACACCAUGGGAGUGGGUUUUACCGAAGUAGUUAGCCCUAAUGCCAUGGAGGCGAUUACCACGGUAGGAUUCUGUGACUGGGGUGAAGUCGUGGCACAAGGUAGCCCUGUUACUGUUCUCCCAG